GUAAGGGCGCACGGUGGAUGCCUUGGCACAGGAAGCCGACGAAGGACGUGACAAGCUGCGAUAAGCCACGGUGAGGAGCACAUAUCCCCUGACCCGUGGAUCUCCGAAUGGGCGAACCCGGCGGGACCCAUAUCCCGUCACCCCCGGCCGAACACAUAGGCCGGGAGGAGGUAACCCGGGGAACUGAAACAUCUCAGUACCCGGAGGAAGAGAAAUCAAACGAGAUUCCCCUAGUAGUGGCGAGCGAACGGGGACCUAGGCCAAACCGGCGCGCGCUUCGGCGCCGCCGGGGUUGUGGGGCCGGUCGUCGCGCAGUCACAAAACCUCGCGGAAGCGGAACGGCCUGGGAAGGCCGGCGGCACAGGGUUAGAGCCCCGUACGCGAAUCCGCGAGGACUGCCGACCGGUGCCCGAGUACUGCCGGACACGUGAAACCCGGUGGGAAGCAGGGGGGACCACCCUCCAAGCCUAAAUACUCUCCUGUGACCGAUNNAAGCACCCCGGGAGGGGAGUGAAACAGUACCUGAAACCGUGCGCCUACAAGCAGUCGGAGCGGCCGCCAGCGGCCGUGACGGCGUGCCUUUUGUAGAAUGAGCCAGCGAGUUACGGUCUGUGGCGAGGUUAAGCUGGGAAGCGAGCCGCAGCGAGAGCGAGUCCCAACCGGGCGUUGGAGUCGCAGGCCGUAGACGCGAAGCCAGGUGAGCUAUCCAUGGGCAGGCUGAAGCGGGGGUAAGACCCCGUGGAGGGCCGAACCCACCUAGGUUGAAAACUGGGGGGAUGACCUGUGGAUAGGGGUGAAAGGCCAAUCAAACCUGGAGAUAUCUCGUUCUCCCCGAAAUAGCUUUAGGGCUAGCGUCGGGAGUUUACCAACGGAGGUAGAGCACUGAAUGGGUGCGGGGGCCUCACCGCCUACCAAGCUCAAUCAAACUCCGAAUGCCGUUGGUCCAUAUCCCGGCAGUCAGAACAUGUGGGCUAAGCCGUGUGUUCGAGAGGGAAACAGCCCAGACCGCCCGCUAAGGUCCCCAAGUCAGUGCUAAGUGGCAAAGGAUGUGCGUUUGCUCAGACAACCAGGAUGUUGGCUUAGAAGCAGCCAUCCAUUCAAAGAGUGCGUAACAGCUCACUGGUCGAGUGGACAUGCGCCGACAAUAUACGGGGCUAAGCACUGCACCGAAGCGGCGGACCGGCCUUCCGGCCGGUGGUAGGGGAGCGUUCCGUCCGCGGCGAAGCCGUGGGGUGACCCACGGUGGAGCGGUCGGAAGUGAGAAUGCUGGCAUGAGUAACGAGAGCGGGGUGGAAAACCCCGCCGCCGUAAACCCAAGGUUUCCUGGGCAAGGCUAAUCCUCCCAGGGUCAGUCGGGAGCUAAGGCGAGGCCGGAAGGCGUAGCCGAUGCACAGCAGGUCGACAUUCCUGCACCUCCGACGCGGCGCUUGACCGACGGGGUGACGGAGAAGGGUAGCUCAGCGGGGUUCUGGACGUCCCCGUGAGGCCACGUAGGCUGAGGGGCAGUGAAAUGCGCCCCUCGCGACGGCUGAGGUGGCGGACGAAGCGAACGAGUGAAGUGAGUGAGCCCAUGCUUCCGAGAAAAACCCCUAGGGAGCCGCUAGGAGCCCGUACCGCAAACCGACACAGGUGGGUGGGUAGAACAUACCAAGGCGAUCGGGAGAACCAUGGUUAAGGAACUCGGCAAAAUUGCCCCGUAACUUCGGGAGAAGGGGUGCCGCAGCCGGUGGACGGGCGUGCCCCGCGAGCUGGCAGCGGCCACAGUGAAGAGGCCCAAGCGACUGUUUAUCAAAAACACAGGACUCUGCUGAAGUCGUAAGACGACGUAUAGGGUCUGACGCCUGCCCGGUGCCGGAAGGUCACGAGGAGUUGUCAGCGCGAGCGAAGCAGCGAAUCUAAGCCCCGGUAAACGGCGGCCGUNNNNNNNNNNNNNNNNNNNNNNNNNNNNNNNNNNNNNNNNACCCCGUGAACCUUUACUGCAGCUAGACAUUGGCUGCCGGUUCGUCGUGUAGAGGAUAGGUGGGAGACUACGAAGUGGGGACGCCAGUCUCCAUGGAGUCGCCCUUGGAAUACCACCCUCGGCGUUCUGGCAUCCUAACCCCUCGCCGUGACCCGGGAGGGGGACCGUGUCUGGUGGGUAGUUUGACUGGGGCGGUCGCCUCCUAAAACGUAACGGAGGCGCACGUAAGGUCUGCUCAGGAUGGUCGGCAACCACCCUUUUGAGUGCAAGAGCAUAAGCAGGCUUGACUGCGAGGCCCACAAGCCGAGCAGAUGGGAAACCAGGUUCUAGUGAUCCGGCGGCUCAGAGUGGAAUGGCCGUCGCUCAACGGAUAAAAGGUACUCCGGGGAUAACAGGCUGAUCUUCCCCAAGAGUCCACAUCGACGGGAAGGUUUGGCACCUCGAUGUCGGCUCAUCGCAUCCUGGGGCUGGAGCAGGUCCCAAGGGUAUGGCUGUUCGCCAUUUAAAGCGGUACGCGAGCUGGGUUCAGAACGUCGUGAGACAGUUCGGUCCCUAUCCUCCGUGGGCGUAGGAAAAUUGAGGGAGGCUGCCCCCAGUACGAGAGGACCGGGGUGGACGGACCUCCGGUGCACGGGUUGUCGACCAACGGCACCGCCCGGUAGCUGUGUCCGGUCUGGAUAACCGCUGAAAGCAUCUAAGCGGGAAGCCAGUCCCAAGAUGAGUUUUCCCUUCGGUAAGGCCCCUGGCAGACCACCAGGUUGAUAGGCGGCAGGUGCAAGCGCGGCGACGCGCUCAGCCGAGCCGUACUAAUGGGCCGAGCUCUUCUCCC
rnacentral:rRNA from 1 species